GAUGAACGCUGGCGGCGUGCCUAAUACAUGCAAGUCGAGCGAACGGACGAGAAGCUUGCUUCUCUGAUGUUAGCGGCGGACGGGAGAGUAACACGUGGAUAACCUACCUAUAAGACUGGGAUAACUUCGGGAAACCGUAGCUAAUACCGGAUAAUAUUUUGAACCGCAUGGUUCAAAAGUGAAAGCCGGUCUUGCUGUCACUUAUAGAUGGAUCCGCGCUGCAUUAGCUAGUUGGUAAGGUAACGGCUUACCAAGGCAACGAUGCAUAGCCGACCUGAGAGGGUGAUCGGCCCCAAGGGAACGGAGACACGGUCGAGACUCCGACGGGAGGCAGCAGCAGGGACUCUUACGCAAGGGGGGAGUGCCUGGCGGAGCAUCGCGGCGUGAGUGAUGAAGGUCUUAGGAUCGUAAAACUCUGUUAUUUGGAAAGAACAUAUGUGUAAUUAACUGUGAACAUCUUGACGGUACCUAAUCAAAAAGCCGCGGCUAACUACGUG
rnacentral:rRNA from 1 species